UACGUAGGUGGCGAGCGUUGUCCGGAAUUAUUGGGCGUAAAGGGUCCGUAGGCGGUUCGUUAAGUCUCCUGUGAAAACUGCAGGCUCAACCUGGAGCGGUCGGGGGAUACUGGCGAACUUGAGACUGUCAGAGGAAAGUGGAAUUCCCGGUGUAGUGGUGAAAUGCGUAGAUAUCGGGAGGAACACCAGUGGCGAAAGCGGCUUUCUGGGACAGUUCUGACGCUGAUGGACGAAAGCGUGGGUAGCAAACCGG
rnacentral:misc_RNA from 1 species